GGCAGAUUCCUCGAUGAGCUCCUGCUCGAUUGGCCGACCUUCCACGGUGGGGUAACGGUCGCAGAAGCGGGGCCGGAGGCGGCUGAGCCGGCCGGGUUGAGCGCGCUGCGGGAGGUAGGCGGCGGCUGAGGAAGAUGAAGAUCCAGUUUCAUACGUGAGACUCACUGAGUGAUCAUUUCAUUGACAUCAACUUGAAUGAGGAGGUGAAAAGUGCAAGAGGAAUGUGGUAUGACUGAGCUACUUCCUGACCAGGGAUUGAACCUGUGCCCCCAGCAUUGGAAACAGAAUCUUAACCACUGGACCAUCAGGGAAGUCCAGCUCUACUAAUCUUUAAUAACUCCCUUGUCUGAUAUCUUGAGUCAAUUCUGUCCCAAAUCUGAAAUAAUAUCUUCAAGAAACUUUUUUUUAUCCAGAAGGAAAUAGCAUUUCAAGAUCAUAAUCUGUAUUCUUGGGAUCCUGAGUCAAUCAUGGUUUUAAUCUUUUCUGUAGACAGGUAGAUAUAACUAUCCUAGCUCUGUCUCUGGAAACACACACAGAACUCUUCAUUUGUAAAACUGAAAUUCUAUACCCGUUAAAUAACUCACCAUUCCCCUGGCAAUCACCAUUGUACUUUCUGUAUAAGUGGGAUCAUACAGCAUUUGUUUGUGACUAGCUAAUAUACUUAAGGUUCAUCCGUGUUGUAACUUAGGUAAACAUUUCCUUCCUGUUUAAGGCUGAAUGGGCUUCCCUCAUGACUCAGACAGUAAAGAAUCCACCUGCAGUGCAGGAGACCCAGGUUUGAUCCCUGGUCAGGAAGACACCCUGGAGAAGGAAAUGGCUGCUUACUUCAGUAUUCUUGUCUGGAGAAUUCCAUGGACAGAGGAGCCUGGUGGGCUGCAGUCCAUGGGGGUCACAAAGAGUUGAACACCACUGAGCUGCAUACACUACACUACUACUUAAGGCUGAAUAAUAUUCCACUGUAUGGUUUAUAGCAUAUUUUACUCAUCUAUUCAUCUGCUGAUGGAACUUGGGUUGCUUCCACCUUUUAGCUAUAUUUUGUGAAUAAUACUGCUGUGAACAUGGAUGUUCAAAGAUCUUUUUAAGACCCUGCUUUCAGUUCUUUUGUCAAAUUGCUGAAUCAUAAUGGCAUUUCUACAUUAAAUUUUUUGAAGAACCACCAUGCUAUUUUUCAUAGCAGCUAUACCAUUUUAUAUUCCUGACAGUGCACAAAGGUUUCAGUUUCUCUACAUCCUCAUGAGUAACUGUUAUUUCUGUUUCUUUUAGCCAUCGUAAUGGGUAUGAGGUGGUAUCUCAUUGUAGUUUUAGUUUGCAUUUACCUAAUGGGUAAUGUUGAAAUAUUUUCAUGUGUUUAUAGCCUUUUUUAUAUUUUCUUUAGAGAAAUGUCUGUUCAGGUUUCUUGCCCAUUUUUUAAUCAGAUUUUUUUUUGUUAAGUUUCUGGAAUUCUCUCUAUAUUUUGGAUUGUUUAUCGUUAUUUAGUUGCUAAUUGUGUCUGACUCUUGCAACCCCGUGGACUAUAGCCCACCAGGCUCCUCUGUCCAUGGGAUUGCCUAGGAAAGAAUACUGUAGUAGGUUGCCAUUUCCUUCUCCAGGGGAUCUUCCCGACUCAGGGAUCAAACCUGUGUCCCUUGUGUCUCCUGAAUCGGCAGGGAAAUUCUUUACCACUGAGCUACCAUGGAAGCCCCAUAUAUUCUGGAUAUUAAUUCCUUAUCACAUAAAUGAUUUGUGAAUAUUUUCUCCCUUUCCAUGGAUUGCCUUUUUACUCUGUUGAUAGUAUCUUUUGAUGCACAAAAAAAAAAUGUUAAAUUUUUGUCAAGUCCAGUUUGUCUGUUUUUACUUUUUGUUGCCUAUGCCUUUGAUGUCAUAUCUAAGAAAUCAUUGCCAAAUUCAGGAUUGUGAAGCUUUUACCCUGUGUUUUCUUUUAAAUUUUUACAGUUUAAGCUCUUAAAUUUAGGUCUUUGACCCAUUUGAGUUAAUUUUUGUGUGGUCUUAAGAAAGGUACAACUUCAUUCUUUUUACAGUUUUCACAGCAGAGGAAGAGACAGACUAUAUCCUUUUGAAGGCUUUUUGGCACUCUUAUUGAAAACCGUUUGACAGUCAGUUCAGUCGCUCAGUCGUAUCCAACUCUUAGCGACCCCAUGGACUGUAGCACGUCAGGCUUCCCUGUCCAUCACCAAAUCCCAGAGUUUACUCAGACUCAUGUCCAUCAAGUCAGUGAUGCCAUCCAACCAUCUUGUCCUCUGUCGUCCCCUUCUCCUCCUGCCUUCAAUCUUUCCCAGCAUCAGGGUCUUUUCCAGUGAGUCUUUUCCGGGUGGCCAAAGUAUUGGAGUUUCAGCUUCAGCAUCAGUCCUUCCAAUGAAUAUUCAGGGUUGAUUUCCUUUAGGAUUGACUGGUUGGAUCUCCUUGCAGUCCAAGGGACUCUCAAGAGUCUUCUCCAACACCAUAGUUCAAAAGCAUCCUCAGUGCUCACAUUUGACAAUAAAUGUGGGGGAUUAUAUCUGGGCUCUUUAUUCUAUGCAGUUGGUCUAUGCGAACACCACUCUGUUUGGAUUUGUGUAGCUUUGCAAAGGAGUUUUAAAUCAGGAAGCUGUUACUCCUCCAACUUCAAUCUUCUUUUUCAAGAUUACAUUCGGGUGAUUACAUUCAAGCUAUUCACGGUCCCUUGAGAUUCCAUAUGUAUUUUAGGAUGGGUUUUCUCUUUCUGAAAAAAAUGUCAUUGGGAUUUUGAUGGGGAUUACACUGAGUCUGUAGAUUGCUUUGGUUAGUAUUGAUGUCUUAAUAUUAAGUCUUAUAAUCCAUGAAUAUUGGAUGCGAUCCCAUUUGCUUAUGUCUUUUUAAUUUCUUUGAGCAAUGUUUUGUAGUCUUCAUUGUACAAGACUUUCACCUCCUUGGUUAAGUUUACUCCUAUUUUUAUUCUUUGAUGCUAUUGUAAAUGGAGUUCUUUUAUUUUCCAUUUUAGGUUAUUCAUUGUUAAUGUAUAGAAAUGCAGAUGGUUUUUAUAUGCUGAUUUUCAUAUUCUGCUGCUUUGCUGAGUUCAUUUAUUCUAAUGUGUGUGUGUGUGUGUAUUCUUUAAGGUUUUUGGCAUAUAAAAUCAUAUCAUGUGCAAAUACAGAUAAUUUGACUUCUUUUCCAAUUUGAAUACCUUUUAUUUCUCUUUCUUGCUUAAAUGCUUGGUGAGAACUUCCAUUUCUAUAUGGAAUAAAAGUGGUGAAUGUGACAUCCUUGCCUUGUUCCUCAUCUUAGAGGGAAAGCUUGUAGUCUUUUAUCAUUGAAUAUGAUGUUCACUGUAGCUUUUUCAUAUAUGGCUUUUGCUGAGUUGUGUGUGUGCUAGUUUGCUUCAAUCAUGUUCUACACUUUAAGACCCUAGGCUCCUCUGUCCAUGGGAUUCUCCAGGCAAGAAUACUGGAGUGGGUUGCCAUUUCCUCCUCCAAGGGAUCUUUUGUUGAGUUAGUUUCCUUCUAUUCCUAGUUGUUGAGUGUUUAUCACAAGAAGUUGGAUUUUGUAAAAUGCUUUUUCUGCAUCAGUUGUAUGUUUUUUUCUUCAUUCCAUUAAUGUAGUGUAAUAUGUAAUACACUGAUUUCUUUUCAUAUGUUGAACUAAUUCCUCCAUUCCAAGUAUAAAUCCCACUUGAAUAUGGUAUAUAUGCUGCUGAAUUUGGUUUACUAGUGUGUGCAUGCUCAAUUUCUUAAGUCAUGUCCAACCCUUGCGAACUCAUGGACUAUAGCCCUCCAGGCUCCUCUGUCCAUGGGAUUUUUCCAGGCAAGAAUACUUGCAGUGGGUUGCCAUUUCCUCCUCCAGGGAGUCUUCCCAACCCAAGGUUCAAUCCUCGUCUCCUGUGCCUCCUGCAUUGGCACUCAGAUUCUUUACCACUAAGCCACCUGGGAAGCCUUUGGUUUACUAGUAUUUUGCAUCAAUGCUUGUAAGGGAUGUUACUAUUUUUCUUGUAUUGUCUGACUUUUUAAUAUUAAGGUGAUGCUAUCCUCCAAGAAUGAGUUAGAAAGUAUUCCCUUGUCUGAUUUUUUGGAAUAGUUUGAGAAGGAUUGUUAGUAGUUCUUUAGAUGUUUUGAUAGAAUUUCUGAGUGAAGCCACUUGGUCCAUGGCUUUUCUUUUGGGGAGAGUUUUUUGAUUACUGAUUCAGUCUUAUUACUAGUUACAGAUGUAUUGUGAUUUUCUAUUUCUCGGUGAUUCAGUCUUGGUAGGUUUUGUGUUUAUAGGAAUUUGUCCAUUUCAUGUUGGUUAUCUAGUUUCUUGGCAUGCAAUUGUUUAUAAUAUUGUUUAAUACUUUUUUCUGUAUAAUUGGUAGUAAUAUUCCCACUUUCAUUUCUGAUUUGGGUAAUUUGAGUCUUCUCUUUUUUUUCCUGUUCAUCAGGUAAAAUUUGUCAUUUUUGUUGAUCUUUUCAGAUGUCUUUCAUUGACUUUCUCUAUUGCUUUCCUAGUCUAUAUUUCCUUGUUUCUGCUCUAAUUAAUCUUUAUUUUUUUCUUUUGCUAGCUUUGGGUUUAGUUUGUUCUUUUUCUUGUUCCUUAAGUUGCAAACUUAGGUUGUUAAUUUGAGAUCUUUCAUGUUUUUAAUGUAAAUUUUUAUAACUCAAAUUUCCCCCUUAGGAUUGCUUUCCCUGUGUCCCAUAAGUUUUGAAAUAUUGUGUUUUGUUUUCAUUAAUAUCUUAAGAGUUUUCUAAUUUCUCUUGUGAUUUCUUCUUUCAUCCAUUGAUUAUUUACAAAUGUGUUGUCUAAUUUCCAUAAACUUAUGAAUUUUUGUUUUAGUUUUUGAUUUCUAAUGUCACCUGUUUGUGGAGACUUAAUUUGUGGUUUAACAUAUAGUCUAGCCUGAUAAUGUCCCAUGUGCCCUUGGAAGACUGUAUUCUGUUGUUGUUGAGCAGUGUUCUUUUCUUUUCUUUUUUUCUUUUUGAUCAGCUGUGGGAUCUUAGUUCCCUGACCAAGGAUCAAUCCCGUGCUCCCUGCAGUGGAAGCAUGGGGCCCUAAACCACUGGAUUACCAGGGAAUUCCCCAGAGUGUUCUUUAUAAAUCUACUAGAUCUGGUUGUUUUACUCUGUCAUGUUGUCUGUUUCAUUACUGUUCUUCUGUCUGUAUUCUUGAGAAUGGGGUGUUAAAAUCUCCAACUAUAUUGUAGAACUAUUUCUUCCUUCAAUUCUGUCAGUUUUUACUUCCCAUGUUUUAGUGGUCUGUUGUUAAGUGCAUAAGAGUUUAUAAUUGUUAUGUUCUAGCUGUAUUGAAUCUUUCAUUAAUAUGUAAUGUCCUUUUUUGUCUCUAGUGGCCUUUUUUGAUUUAAAGUCUAUUUUGUCUAGUACUAAUAUAGCUACACUUUUUUUCUUUUUUUUAAAAAUUAUUUUCAUGAAAUACCUUUUACCAUUCUUUCAUUGUCAAUCUCUCUGUGUCUCUGGCUCUAAAAUGGUCUCUAGUGGCCUUUUUUGAUUUAAAGUCUAUUUUGUCUAGUACUAAUAUAGCUACACUUUUUUUCUUUUUUUUAAAAAUUAUUUUCAUGAAAUACCUUUUACCAUUCUUUCAUUGUCAAUCUCUCUGUGUCUCUGGCUCUAAAAUGGGUCUUGUUUUAAGCACAUAGUUGGAUCAUAUUUUCUUAAAUUCAUUCUACCAGUCUGUCAAGAGUUUGACCCUUUUACAUUUAUAGUGAUUACUGACAGGUAGGGGAUUACUAUCUGUAAUUUUGCUAUUUUUUUGUAACAUCUUAUGGCUUUUUUCCCGCCUCAUUUCCUGUAUUACUGUCUUCUUGUGUUUAGUUGAUUUUUUUUUUUUUUAUAGCAGAAUGUUUUCUUUUUCUAUAUAUUCUAUCACUGUUUUCUCUGUGGUUAACAUGAGGAUUACAUUUACCAUUAUAAAAUUAUAACACUAAUUUGAAUUGAUCACAGCUUUAAUUAAAUAACCUGCUGCUUUAUAGCUCUAUCCCCACCUCUUUCAGCUGUUGAUGCUGCACAGUUACAUCUUUAUACAUGUGUGCCUGAAAACAAAUUAAGAAUUCUAAUAAAUGAGUUAGUCUCUUAAAUUAGGUAGAAAAUGUGUGACAUUACAAACCAAAGUUAUAAUAAUAUUAGCUUUAGACUAAUGAUUGUUUUGUAAAAAACGAUCUGUUUCUUAAGUCAUGUAGAAAGCAAAAAGUGGAGCUACACAUCUUUGUUAUGAUAGUAGCAGCUCUUACAGUCGCCCGUGUGUUUCCCGUGCCAUGCACCUUUACUGAGAUACUUGUCUUUCCUGUGGCUUUGCUUUAGUCUGUGUCCUUUCACCUCAGCCAGGAGGACUCCCUUUACCUUUACUCGCAGGGCAGGUCUAGCGGUAGGGAACUCCUUAAACUUUUGCUUAUCUGGAAAUAUCUUUCUUUUGUUCUCACUGUUGAAGGAUAGUUUUGCCAAACAUAGGAUUCUUGAUUGACAGUUUCUUU